rnacentral:misc_RNA from 1 species
UUUCGGUAUCCUGUGUUGCUUACCAGCGGAAAGGAACUCGAUGGUUUUGGUGUCCCCAUCCGCCUUGUGCCCUUUGGGGUGCGGGGUGUACGCGAGCCUGGCUUUGUGUUGCCCGCGUGUUGAGUGUGUUGAUGCUCGUCGCUGUGCCCAUUCGGUCUCGGCCCGUGCUCUCGGAUGCAGAAUGUUGCGUGUGUGUUGGCUUGGGGUCUCUCGGCCUCUGCUUGUCACAUGCAUUGUCCCUUGACAUGAAUGACUGCCGCGCCCGUCUUUGAUAGGCCGAUCGAGCCCCGUCUCUGGGAUUCGGGAGGGCUGCUCA